AGCGGCGGAUGGGUGAGUAACACGUGGGGAACCUGCCCCUAAGUCUGGGAUACCAUUUGGAAACAGGUGCUAAUACCGGAUAAUAAAGCAGAUCGCAUGAUCAGCUUUUGAAAGGCGGCGUAAGCUGUCGCUAAGGGAUGGCCCCGCGGUGCAUUAGCUAGUUGGUAAGGUAACGGCUUACCAAGGCGACGAUGCAUAGCCGAGUUGAGAGACUGAUCGGCCACAUUGGGACUGAGACACGGCCCAAACUCCUACGGGAGGCAGCAGUAGGGGAUCUUCCACAAUGGACGCAAGUCUGAUGGAGCAACGCCGCGUGAGUGAAGAAGGUUUUCGGAUCGUAAAGCUCUGUUGUUGGUGAAGAAGGAUAGAGGUAGUAACUGGCCUUUAUUUGACGGUAAUCAACCAGAAAGUCACGGCUAACUACGUGCCAGCAGCCACGGUAAUACGUAGGUGGCAAGCGUUGUCCGGAUUUAUUGGGCGUAAAGCGAGCGCAGGCGGAAAAAUAAGUCUAAUGUGAAAGCCCUCGGCUUAACCGAGGAACUGCAUCGGAAACUGUUUUUCUUGAGUGCAGAAGAGGAGAGUGGAACUCCAUGUGUAGCGGUGGAAUGCGUAGAUAUAUGGAAGAACACCAGUGGCGAACGCGGCUCUCUGGUCUGCAACUGACGCUGAGGCUCGAAAGCAUGGGUAGCGAACAGGAUUAGAUACCCUGGUAGUCCAUGCCGUAAAC
rnacentral:rRNA from 1 species